rnacentral:ncRNA from 2 species
AGAACAAAUAUUGUUAGUACUCGUAUAAUAUCGAGAAUAAGGCUUGAUAGUUUCUGCCAGAUGGCCAUAAACUAUCUGACUACGAGUGGAAGUGUACCUAAA